rnacentral:rRNA from 1 species
UACGUAGGGUGCGAGCGUUGUCCGGAAUUAUUGGGCGUAAAGGGCUCGUAGGCGGUGUGUCGCGUCGGCCGUGAAAACCUGUGGCUUAACUAUGGGCUUGCGGUCGAUACGGGCAUCACUGGAGUUCGGCAGGGGAGACUGGAAUUCCUGGUGUAGCGGUGAAAUGCGCAGAUAUCAGGAGGAACACCGGUGGCGAAGGCGGUUCUCUGGGCCUGUACUGACGCUGAGGAACGAAAGCGUGGGGAGCGAACAGG